CCCCGNGAUGGGAUGGAAACUAGUAGGCUAGAGUAUNGGAGAGGAAAGCGGAAUUCCUAGUGUAGCGGUGAAAUGCGUAGAUAUUAGGAAGAACACCAGUGGCGAAGGCGGCUUUCUGGACGAAAACUGACGCUGAGGCGCGAAAGCCAGGGGAGCGAACGGGAUUAGAUACCCCGGUAGUCCUGGCCGUAAACGAUGGGUACUAGGUGUAGGAGGUAUCGACCCCUUCUGUGCCGGAGUUAACGCAAUAAGUACCCCGCCUGGGGAGUACGGUCGCAAGGCUGAGACUCAAAGGAAUUGACGGGGGCCCGCACAAGCGGUGGAGUAUGUGGUUUAAUUCGACGCAACGCGAAGAACCUUACCAGGUCUUGACAUUGAUGGACGAAACAAGAGAUUGUUUUUCUCCUUCGGGAGCCAGAAAACAGGUGGUGCACGGCUGUCGUCAGCUCGUGUCGUGAGAUGUUGGGUUAAGUCCCGCANNNNNCGCAACCCCUAUCUUAUGUUGCCAGCACGUAAUGGUGGGAACUCAUGAGAGACUGCCGCAGACAAUGCGGAGGAAGGCGGGGACGACGUCAAGUCAUCAUGCCCCUUAUGGCCUGGGCUACACACGUACUACAAUGGGCUUUAAUAGAGGGAAGCGAAGCCGCGAGGUGGAGCAAACCCCAGAAACAAGCUCUCAGUUCGGAUCGUAGGCUGCAACUCGCCUACGUGAAGUCGGAAUCGCUAGUAAUCGCAGGUCAGCAUACUGCGGUGAAUACGUUCCCGGGCCUUGUNC
rnacentral:rRNA from 1 species